CCUACGGGUGGCAGCAGUAGGGAAUUUUCGUCAAUGGGCGCAAGCCUGAUCGAGCGAUGCCGCGUGAGUGAAGAAGGCCUUCGGGUCGUAAAGCUCUGUUGCGGGGGAAAAAAGGCAGCAUCAGGAAAUGGGUGCUGACUGAUGGUGCCCCGCCAGAAAGUCACGGCUAACUACGUGCCAGCAGCUGCGGUAAUUCGUAGGUGGCGAGCGUUAUCCGGAAGGGUUGGGCGUAACGGGUGCGCAGGCGGUCCUGCAAGUCUGGAGUGAAACGCAGGGGCUCAACCCAUGCAUGGCUUUGGAAACUGGGGGACUGGAGAGCAGGAGAGGGCGGUGGAACUCCAGGUGUAGCGGUAAAAUGCGUAGAUAUAAGGAGGAACACCAGUGGCGAAGGCGGCCGCCUGGCCUGUAGCUGACGCUGAGGCACGAAAGCGUGGGGAGCAAACAGGAUUAGAUACCCUAGUAGUC
rnacentral:rRNA from 1 species